CGAACGCUGGCGGCGUGCUUAACACAUGCAAGUCGAACGGAAAGGCCCUGCUUUUGUGGGGUGCUCGAGUGGCGAACGGGUGAGUAACACGUGAGUAACCUGCCCUUGACUUUGGGAUAACUUCAGGAAACUGGGGCUAAUACCGGAUAGGAGCUCCUGCUGCAUGGUGGGGGUUGGAAAGUUUCGGCGGUUGGGGAUGGACUCGCGGCUUAUCAGCUUGUUGGUGGGGUAGUGGCUUACCAAGGCUUUGACGGGUAGCCGGCCUGAGAGGGUGACCGGCCACAUUGGGACUGAGAUACGGCCCAGACUCCUACGGGAGGCAGCAGUGGGGAAUAUUGCACAAUGGGCGGAAGCCUGAUGCAACAACGCCGCGUGCGGGAUGACGGCCUUCGGGUUGUAAACCGCUUUCGCCUGUGACGAAGCGUGAGUGACGGUAAUGGGUAAAGAAGCACCGGCUAACUACGUG
rnacentral:rRNA from 1 species